UUCAAUACCGAGAACUACAUGCAAUGUCAACAGCUUCUUGGACGAUGUCGAAAGCAACUUUUUCAUCCCCCAUAUUCUCUGCGUACCAACCGUCAACAAACGGUAUUUAUUUAUAGCUCCUGACAACUUGUGGUAUUGCUUUAUAACCUCUCGCGCGGAAAUAUUCUUACACGUGUACGAAACCACGGUCAUCUUCGGCGUACCAGGCGUGCUGUCAGAAAUCACACGAAACUUUCAUACUGAAGCAAGUAUAUAUGGCAACAAAAUACCCAAUGUUCCGUUUUCUGGUGGUUGCCAGUUCCCUCUUAGUAAUUUCAGGUUUAUCGGUGAAACGUAAUACGGCCCCCUCUCGCCAACGACGAAGUCAGGUUACUACUAAAGAACAUUCUGCGUGUUCGAUGGAUUGUGGCAGCGAUUCUAAGUACUCCUGUACAGUCACUCAUAAUUGUAGCACAUCGAGUAAUUGUAAACAUUGCGACUGUUCUUGCG